rnacentral:lncRNA from 1 species
AUAGAGAGAGAGGUUAUUAUGAUUUAUUAAUAUGUUAUAAGAAUAAUAUAUUAAAGGAGAAAUCAUAUUUGUUUAAUUAAUAUUGGUCAAUAAUUAAUUAAGAAUUAAUUUUGUGAUCAAGUGUAAUUAAUUAAACUAGAGGGGCUGAAUUGUAAUUAUGUGAUAGUUACAAAAUAAGGUAAGGAUUAUCUUAUAUAUAUGGUGAACGAAUUUGAGGUGUAAAUCCCUUAGAAUUCGACUAGGAUAAGGAUUUCUAGGACUUAUCUUAUGGUUGCUUGGUGGACAAGCAACUAGAUAAGGAUAAGGACUAAAACCCUAAUCUUUACACCUAUAUAACCCCCCUAAGGCUCAUGAAUUCGUCUAAGCCUUCUCAAGAAGUCCUAAGGACGAAUUCCUACCUCUCUCCUCUCUCUUUAUACCUUCUCCACUUGCUUAUGGUGUUUGUAAGCCAUUAGAGGAGUGACACUUGUGACUCUCAGCCUUCCAAAGUCAAUACAAGGAGGAAUUGGGAUUGUUAUUGCUACAUAACAAUCAAGGUAAUAUCAUAAACCUAAUUAUAUGUUAAUAUUGAUUUCCAUAUGCUAGAAUUAGGGUUUAUAGUCUUGGAUUCAAAGCAUGUACAAUAGAGAAACCUAGAUCCAAGCAUUAGGGUUUGUAUGAGCACAUAGGAUGUCUUAUGACCAAAACCCAUCAGUUGUAUCAGAGCCUAGAUUGGUUUCUAUUGUAUUGAUGCUUGAUAUAACUGAAAAUCGUGUUUUGGCCUCACUGUUCGACCUGACUCGGCGAGUCACUCUUGGACUCGGCGAGUCAGCCCUACUCGGCGAGUUCCAGAGGGUGACUCGGCGAGUCGGUGCGUCAGACAGUGCUUAUCUCGGGAUUUCUUGCUGUUUUUGCAUUGGGAUAAUUACCUUAUCAUGUUAGAUUAAUAUUAAUCCGAUUAUAUGAUAUAUUUGACUAUAUUUUUAAUCUAAUUGAAGAUAUUUAUCAAUUAAUAAGAUAAUUGUUUCCUUAUAAGAUAAUUGAUUAAUUAUUUUAAGUAAAUUGAUAAAUUAUUUUGCAAGAAAUCAUUAAAUAAAUCAAAUAUGGAUAAUUAUGUGAUUAAAUGUUAAUUUGAAUUAUUUGUUAUUUGAUCCUUGUUGUUAUGAAAAGUUUCAUAUUUUGCCCUUUAGGUUUUAUAGUUUAAAUUUGAACCCAAAAGUUUUGUUGUUUUGAAAUUUAAAUAGUUGAAACCCUAAUGUUUUGAAAAAGGUUUCAAAACUUGCCCUCAAGUUUUGGAAUUUAAAUUUUGAUUAAAUAGUUUAAUUUUGAUGCAUAUUUAAAUUCUAAACCCUAAUGUGUUGAAAUGUUUCAAAACUUGCCCUCAAGUUUUGGAAUUUAAAAGUUGAUUAAAAGUUUAAUUAGGAAUGUUAAAUUCUAAAACUCUAGUAUAGUUUUGAAAAAGUUCAAAUCACACCCUUAUGGUUUUAUUAAUUAAUUAAGGUGUAUAAUUAAAAGAGGUUUAAUAAAUCCAUAAAAGUUUAGGUUUACAAUUUAAUUGAAUUAAAAGUAUAAUUGUUAAAUUAGACCACCUAGUAUUUUAAAAGUAUAAAAUACACCCUAUACUAUAUAUAACAUUAAAAGUCUAACAUUAUAUAUAUGUAUGAGUAAAAGUCAGUCUUACCGUUAGUAGGCCUCAUUCACGAAGCUGGUCUAUAAGGGGUGUUUAAGGAAAUUGCCUAUAAAAUGGCGAUUGAAUGGGUAUCCACUCUUACCCACCGCACUCUUGACUAGUGGAGGGUCGUUAGCCGAACGGGUAGGAUAGGACGAAACCUUCCAUUAUAAGUAUAAUGAAUUAUUAAAGUAACUAAAUGUUUUCAUAAAAUUCCCAAUCUUAGUUACUUAGGCAAAAGUGAAUUGAUGCAAUUCCAUGAAAUUACACUUUGUGCCCUUGCGAAGACGUUAGUGGAGCGUGUGUGGUUUACCGGCACACUAAAUGGUUCUAAGCAAAGGUAGCAAAGGGUGACUCAAUGUUUGUCAUAGUUCGGUGGAGCGUGUGUGGUUUACCGGCACAUCGAAUAGGUGACUGUAACAUGUGAGGGCACCAUGUAAGUUUGCAUGGUUAUUCACACCCGCUUUGUGAUCCUCGGCAUCCCAGUCACAAACAAGAGGGGCAUAUCGAGAUUUAAACAUGCCAUUGAAAGUUCAAUGAAUCUCAAAGGAUCUAGGAGUUUUCAUAGAUUUAAAACUUAAAUUUCUUUUUCGUUUUUCAUGGUGGAAAUUAGUGAAUCGUCAUUCACUUACCUUCAAAUAUUCUGCAAUUAGGGUUACGGCAUCCCUCUCCCGAGUUGUAGAAUAUUGUGUUGGGUCCUAGCCUUAGUAUCUCAUUUGGGUGAUUUACUAAGGACUCAAUCAAUCAACUAACUUGAAUUCGUUUUCUCCCGUUUUGUAGAUGUCAAAGUUCGACAACUAUGGUCUUCCCAAAUCCCGUGGAACAAGCAUUCCACAUGAAGAUGAUAUUCCACGAUUCGAUCGAGGAACAAGAAAUCAUGCUUCACUUCCUCCUCCUCCUCCAAUUAUUCUCCCUAACCCACAAGUUCAAAGGCUUGAAAAGUUCAAGAUCACUCAAGCCCUUUUGGCAAGUAAACAUAAAGAAGGAAAGUCGGUGUGUGCACACGUCCUAGGGAUGAAGUCACACAUUGAUAGGUUAAGAAUGUUGGGAUCCGUUGUCUGUGAGGAAAUGGCUGUUGAUUGGGUUCUUCAGUCACUUCCUAACUCAUAUAGUGAGUUCGUAAGAGAGUACUAUAUGAUGAACCGCGACGUGACCCUUAUAGAUCUCACCUAUAUGCUUAUUGCUGCUGAAUCAGCAAUGGUUUGGCGCAAUAGAAAAGCAAAGUUGAUUGGUGAAUCUGCCUUCAAGACCUCUAUGGAUAUAGACAAUGGCAACGAAAGACAUGCUAUGAUCGAAAAGUUUGAUCAUAAGAGAAAGGCAAUGUCUGAAGUAGUUCCAUGUCAUGUUCCAAAAGAGUCAAUUUGCUUUUAUUGCCAAGAGAAAGGGCAUUGGAGACGAAGCUGCCCCAUUUACCUAAGAGAUCUAAGAGAUGGGAGAGUCGAAACGUAUGGCUCUAAUAUAGGUAAAAUCCAUUAACUAACUCUUUUAAGCUUCUAUUCUAGAUUCUUAAUACAUAAUGUGAUAAGAUUACAAUUGAUGUUUUGUAGGAUCGAAGAAAAGAAAGGAAGCUUAAGGGAAGAAGUGAGCAGAAUCUAACCGUGAAGGAAUGGAUUUCGAUCGCAUUUCUCGAAGAUUAGAUUCUUGAGCUACUACUUAGAGUUAGAAUUAGAUUGCUAAGAAAGAUGUAUUAGCAUAGUUUUUCAAUGAAUUGCAUUGUAAGGACAAAUUUUUUCCGCAAUAAAAUAAAUUUUGAUUUUAUAUUAUUUAUUUAUCCUUGCAAUGGCGUAUAUGAAAAAUUGAUGUUUGAAUGUUUCUAUUAUUAGCAAUAAUGGAUUUGGUUCUUAUUAUGUUAUUUAUGGAAAGUCGAGAAUUUACCAAAUAGGGAGAGUUUCUCAUCGCCCAAGUUUCAAUUGGACAGAAACUUGGAAUCAUGCAACUUGGUUGCACGAUGAAUGAGAAAUUUCAUAUUUGGAAAUUAGACUAAUUCAUUGACAAAGUGUCAAGUGAAGGACUAGGAGAUCGAGUACACAAAGUUGCGUGUUGAUCAAGUCCACCAUAAGAGUAACAAAGAUAUUCGUCAUGAUUUACUAAAGGUUUAGUAAAUAUGAUUAUACUUACAAGAUUAAGUGUAAUUCUGAAUUGAUUGAAAAAGUUUAAAUCAAUAGCAGAACGAAUAAGAAGAAUCAAGUAGGCAGAAAGAUAAAAGUUUCUCCAUUCUAAGAAGAAGGGAGAGUACCUUUUAUGCUUUAUGAUAGGUCUUAAUGAUUAAGAACCAUAUCUCAAUUGAUCCUCUAAGUGAGUCUUAGUACAAUUGUAUGUCUAAGAAGAGGAAUCAAGAAUUGAAGAAAUGGUUAAAUCAAGAAGUCAAUCAUACUUCGUUCCAAAACAAGUCUUAGAGUUAAGAUUGUGACAUUGAGUGAAAAGUAUUAAGAAGGUUUAUAACAUUCAUCAAAUGUGGAAAGUUGUGAUGUCUUGGAUAAGACAAAGACCAACUAGGACCAAUUUAUGAAGUGUUUUGAUAAAAACUACACUAACUCUUGAAUAUUUGUUUGUCAAGAAAUGUUUAUUGACAAGAGAAUCUUAUAUGUCAAGGAGUCAGUGGGAGUCUUAAUGGUCUUGAAAGGUUUCAAGAACAAAUCAAAAAAAACCUUAUCGAUCAUCACUAGCACACGAGUUGAGGUUUACAACCUAUCGUGUUGACAUUAUUUUGAUUCUGUGCCAAUCCAAUCGAGUUAAUUAUGCAUGUGAGUUCUAUGAGUUCUCAUUUUGAACGCAUAAAAGGCAAAGCACCUUAAUCAAUGAAAGGUACAUUGAUAGGAAAGGGUGAGCUGCUUAACUACUUGGAAGACAUGGUGGGCAGCUGUGCUACCAUAAGGCAAGAAAUCAAGAUUAAGAAAGUUCGGUCCAUAUGAGUUUGAAUUUGUCGUAAACUUUGGUUUUAACAAAUUCACAUGGAUAGGAACACAUACACCGUUUAAAUCUAAGUGUCAUAAGAUUUCCUCCUUCAUGAAAAUGAUUGUGAGGAAAUGCUUUCACUAAGAAAGAUUUUAAGAAGAUAGUGAUUGUAAAAUUGCAUUCUCGAAUUCGAUUAUGGUUACGGUAUCCCUUUCCAUAAUUUGAAUUGUGAGGUUUGGCAAUUAGUCUUAAUUGUUUAGACACACAUAUGAACUAUCGAAGGCAAAGGUGUAUAAGUUCAAGAAGCCUUGAUAAAAGAUUAUCAAAGCACUAAGUAUUAGAAACAUGAACUUAAGAAAUUCAAUAAGUAUUGUUUUUCUGAAAGUUAAGAUGUUUAUGAAUACAUGUCGAAGCUAGUGGGAGCAUAAGUGUUAUGUUUUAUAAUAAUCAUCAUGAUAGUGGGAGCAUAAAUGUUAUGAUUGUAUGAUUAUUAAGGCACGUAUUGCAAGUUGGCAAUAUUAAUUAUAGAAAACAAGAGUUAUACCUUGCAAAGUCGUAAGGGUUGUAAAGUUGUUUUGCUAUAAUUAAGGGAGAGAAUAUUAUGCUUCAUUUCAAAUCUAAAGGAUUAGGUUGAGAAAUGUUAAUAAAUUUAGUCAAAGGUACAUAGUGUGUUCUUAAAAUUUCGAUUAUGAUUACGGCAUUCCUCUUCACAAUUCGAAUUUUGAGAACAUAGCAAAUAAAACAUUAUGCGUCGUGUCCCAUACGCUUCGGGUAUAGGAUCGAUUGCAAAUGCUUUAAUGUUUGACCAUUCUAAAAUUUUCCAAAUGUCGAGCGCAUUUAGAGGGAAAAGGGACUAGAAUUGGUUUUGACUAAAAUAAUUAAACAACUAUCAAAGGACAAUCCAAAGUUCGACGAGGAUUGGUCGCUUGUGAGUAGUUGGAAGCAUGGUAUUGGAUGGACCAUAUCGACAUUAUUAUGAAUAGAAAAGAUUCUAUUAAGAAUGAGUUGUCAUAUGGAAAUUAUGGAAAUGUUUCCAUAUUGGAUGGACCAUAUCGACAUCAUUACGAAUAGAUAAGAUUCUAUUAAGAAUGAGUUGUCAUAUGGAAAAUAUGGAAACGUGUCCAUAUUGGGAAUUGAAUAUUGAAAAUCUAUGUCUAGAUUAGAAACUUUUAUGCAAAAGGAUGUUCAAAGGAAUGUACUUUGAGUGAGAGACAUCAUAUCUAAGGAAUUGUCUUGUAACAAUCUCCGAUAGAGGACUUUGUAAUAUCAUUGGCAAUAGUCUUUGUGACUUUGGUGCAGUGACAUUACGAAAGGAUCAUUGCAUAGAAUGUUAGAAUCUAGCAUAUUUUAUAAGUAACAAGAAUUUGAUAUUCUCACACUUAUGAAAAAGGAUUUGGAGUUGUGAAAUGAGAAUGAUUGGAAAUGUGUUCAAUUUGAUCUAUUUCACAAAGUAAGAACCAUAGGUAAACAUUGUGUGCAUGCUAGGAGCAUGGGACAAGUGUAAUAAUUCAAGUAAGAAGUUGAUUACCCGAAACGACAAAUAAUGAGUAAUCGAUAUGGUGAUAAAUAAAAGGUGUUUUAUUUAUACUCAAAGGUUUGAGGCCAUAUGGGAUUAGUAUUAUUCUUGUGUUUCACAUUUGCAUGUUUUGACUUCCAGAAUAAUUGAGUUUAUUAAGAAUAAUCGAAUUAUUCGAACGGGCCACAGUCGUUCAUAUGUUGGAAGUAGAUAUGAAUGAAGACUGUCGUGAAUUGGUGUGUGGAUUGUCUAAAAGAGUAUUAGACAUAAGCAAAUGUUUGCUGCAACGUUCAUGAGUGCUUAUGAAUAUGAUUUGAGCAUUGGAUUAAACCCACGCUCACUUGGAUCACUCCAUGAAUUGUAUCACGAGUGAUUGGUGAGACGAUAACAUCUUAUAUUCUUGAAACCGAGAUGUGUGAGUUGUAUCUUGCAAAUCGGUUGCACAUUGAUAAUAUGUAAACGCACUAGUAACUUGGUGUUAUAAAACAUAUUGUUGUGUGUGAUUCGGUGAGUGAGUGCAAGCAAGCAUUGUAUCAAAGUUUAUCCGUUCCUUUUAUCCAAAGUAGGAUAAAAGCGAUAUCUUUGGGCCCCUCGAUGAUUUAGUGAUGACAAACGUAAAUGCUCGGCCGGGCUAGGGCUAAUUUGAUUUGUUCAAUUAGUCAGUCGUCAUAAAUCGGGAAUCGAGAUAUAGUACAAAGAGAAUGAUUUGAAAUCAUAUCUCAUAUGAUAUCUAGAAUGGAGGAAUAUAUGAUCCCUUAUCUAAGGACACGCGUAUCUGAUAGGAUCAGAGUUGACAGCGGCUUUGGAAAGCUACGAUUGCAGAUCAGGAUCUGAAGUCAUACGCAGAAUAGUUAUUAGACUUAUCCAAGUGGGAGACUGUUGGAUUAGUGUCUAAGUCCAUAACUAUUUUGGUAUGUACUUGACCCGAUGGUGCAUGGUCCUUUUGGGUUGCCUUCAGCAAAGCAACUUGAUUGGAGAAAUAAAUAGAGAGAGAGGUUAUUAUGAUUUAUUAAUAUGUUAUAAGAAUAAUAUAUUAAAGGAGAAAUCAUAUUUGUUUAAUUAAUAUUGGUCAAUAAUUAAUUAAGAAUUAAUUUUGUGAUCAAUUGUAAUUAAUUAAACUAGAGAGGCUGAAUUGUAAUUAUGUGAUAGUUACAAAAUAAGGUAAGGAUUAUCUUAUAUAUAGGGUGAACGAAUUUAAGGUGAUAAUGCCUUAGAAUUCGACUAGGAUAAGGGUUUCUAAGACUUAUCUUAUGGUUGCUUGGUGGACAAGCAACUAGAUAAGGAUAAGGACUAAAACCCUAAUCUUUACACCUAUAUAAACCCUCUAAGGCUCAUGAAUUCGUCUAAGCCUUCUCAAGAAUUCCUAAGGACGAAUUC